rnacentral:rRNA from 1 species
GAUGAACGCUGGCGGCGUGCCUAAUACAUGCAAGUCGAGCGAACGGACGAGAAGCUUGCUUCUCUGAUGUUAGCGGCGGACGGGUGAGUAACACGUGGAUAACCUACCUAUAAGACUGGGAUAACUUCGGGAAACCGGAGCUAAUACCGGAUGAUAUUUUGAACCGCAUGGUUCAAAAGUGAAAGACGGUCUUGCUGUCACUUAUAGAUGGAUCCGCGCUGCAUUAGCUAGUUGGUAAGGUAACGGCUUACCAAGGCAACGAUGCAUAGCCGACCUGAGAGGUUGAUCGGCCACACUGGAACUGAGACACGGUCCAGACUCCUACGGGAGGCAGCAGUAGGGAAUCUUCCGCAAUGGGCGAAAGCCUGACGGAGCAACGCCGCGUGAUUGAUGAAGGUCUUCGGAUCGUAAAACUCUGUUAUUAGGGAAGAACAUAUGUGUAAGUAACUGUGCACAUCUUGACGUUACCUAAUCAGAAAGCCACGGCUAACUACGUG